UCGCCGGUGGAAGUCCGGCCCCGGGAGCGGGCAGCGCGCCCGGGUAGCUUGAGGGAGGUGCCACGGGUAACCGGAAGCACCGAGUUCCCUGACAAGCGCUCGCCGAAGGGAGCGCGCAACCCCGCAGGCCGUAGCGUGC
rfam:Candidate division NC10 bacterium RIFCSPLOWO2_02_FTLL_66_22 rifcsplowo2_02_scaffold_945, whole genome shotgun sequence.